rnacentral:rRNA from 1 species
AGCCCAGAGCCUGAAUCAGUGUGUGUGUUAGUGGAAGCGUCUGGAAAGGCGCGCGAUACAGGGUGACAGCCCCGUACACAAAAAUGCACAUACUGUGAGCUCGAUGAGUAGGGCGGGACACGUGGUAUCCUGUCUGAAUAUGGGGGGACCAUCCUCCAAGGCUAAAUACUCCUGACUGACCGAUAGUGAACCAGUACCGUGAGGGAAAGGCGAAAAGAACCCCGGCGAGGGGAGUGAAAAAGAACCUGAAACCGUGUACGUACAAGCAGUGGGAGCCUCUUAAUGGGGUGACUGCGUACCUUUUGUAUAAUGGGUCAGCGACUUAUAUUCUGUAGCAAGGUUAACCGAAUAGGGGAGCCGAAGGGAAACCGAGUCUUAACUGGGCGUUAAGUUGCAGGGUAUAGACCCGAAACCCGGUGAUCUAGCCAUGGGCAGGUUGAAGGUUGGGUAACACUAACUGGAGGACCGAACCGACUAAUGUUGAAAAAUUAGCGGAUGACUUGUGGCUGGGGGUGAAAGGCCAAUCAAACCGGGAGAUAGCUGGUUCUCCCCGAAAGCUAUUUAGGUAGCGCCUCGUGAAUUCAUCUCCGGGGGUAGAGCACUGUUUCGGCAAGGGGGUCAUCCCGACUUACCAACCCGAUGCAAACUGCGAAUACCGGAGAAUGUUAUCACGGGAGACACACGGCGGGUGCUAACGUCCGUCGUGAAGAGGGAAACAACCCAGACCGCCAGCUAAGGUCCCAAAGUCAUGGUUAAGUGGGAAACGAUGUGGGAAGGCCCAGACAGCCAGGAUGUUGGCUUAGAAGCAGCCAUCAUUUAAAGAAAGCGUAAUAGCUCACUGGUCGAGUCGGCCUGCGCGGAAGAUGUAACGGGGCUAAACCAUGCACCGAAGCUGCGGCAGCGACACUAUGUGUUGUUGGGUAGGGGAGCGUUCUGUAAGCCUGUGAAGGUGUACUGUGAGGUAUGCUGGAGGUAUCAGAAGUGCGAAUGCUGACAUAAGUAACGAUAAAGCGGGUGAAAAGCCCGCUCGCCGGAAGACCAAGGGUUCCUGUCCAACGUUAAUCGGGGCAGGGUGAGUCGACCCCUAAGGCGAGGCCGAAAGGCGUAGUCGAUGGGAAACAGGUUAAUAUUCCUGUACUUGGUGUUACUGCGAAGGGGGGACGGAGAAGGCUAUGUUGGCCGGGCGACGGUUGUCCCGGUUUAAGCGUGUAGGCUGGUUUUCCAGGCAAAUCCGGAAAAUCAAGGCUGAGGCGUGAUGACGAGGCACUACGGUGCUGAAGCAACAAAUGCCCUGCUUCCAGGAAAAGCCUCUAAGCAUCAGGUAACAUCAAAUCGUACCCCAAACCGACACAGGUGGUCAGGUAGAGAAUACCAAGGCGCUUGAGAGAACUCGGGUGAAGGAACUAGGCAAAAUGGUGCCGUAACUUCGGGAGAAGGCACGCUGAUAUGUAGGUGAAGUCCCUUGCGGAUGGAGCUGAAAUCAGUCGAAGAUACCAGCUGGCUGCAACUGUUUAUUAAAAACACAGCACUGUGCAAACACGAAAGUGGACGUAUACGGUGUGACGCCUGCCCGGUGCCGGAAGGUUAAUUGAUGGGGUUAGCGGUAACGCGAAGCUCUUGAUCGAAGCCCCGGUAAACGGCGGCCGUAACUAUAACGGUCCUAAGGUAGCGAAAUUCCUUGUCGGGUAAGUUCCGACCUGCACGAAUGGCGUAAUGAUGGCCAGGCUGUCUCCACCCGAGACUCAGUGAAAUUGAACUCGCUGUGAAGAUGCAGUGUACCCGCGGCAAGACGGAAAGACCCCGUGAACCUUUACUAUAGCUUGACACUGAACAUUGAGCCUUGAUGUGUAGGAUAGGUGGGAGGCUUUGAAGUGUGGACGCCAGUCUGCAUGGAGCCGGCCUUGAAAUACCACCCUUUAAUGUUUGAUGUUCUAACGUUGGCCCCUGAUCGGGGUUGCGGACAGUGUCUGGUGGGUAGUUUGACUGGGGCGGUCUCCUCCUAAAGAGUAACGGAGGAGCACGAAGGUUGGCUAAUCCUGGUCGGACAUCAGGAGGUUAGUGCAAUGGCAUAAGCCAGCUUGACUGCGAGCGUGACGGCGCGAGCAGGUGCGAAAGCAGGUCAUAGUGAUCCGGUGGUUCUGAAUGGAAGGGCCAUCGCUCAACGGAUAAAAGGUACUCCGGGGAUAACAGGCUGAUACCGCCCAAGAGUUCAUAUCGACGGCGGUGUUUGGCACCUCGAUGUCGGCUCAUCACAUCCUGGGGCUGAAGUAGGUCCCAAGGGUAUGGCUGUUCGCCAUUUAAAGUGGUACGCGAGCUGGGUUUAGAACGUCGUGAGACAGUUCGGUCCCUAUCUGCCGUGGGCGCUGGAGAACUGAGGGGGGCUGCUCCUAGUACGAGAGGACCGGAGUGGACGCAUCACUGGUGUUCGGGUUGUCAUGCCAAUGGCACUGCCCGGUAGCUAAAUGCGGAAGAGAUAAGUGCUGAAAGCAUCUAAGCACGAAACUUGCCCCGAGAUGAGUUCUCCCUGACUC